UCGAUUUUUUUCUUAUCCUCUUUUUUUUUUUCUGAUAACUGCCACUUGUUUCUGUCUCCCCAACCCACUGAUCUCUUCUGGUAAUGAUUUCCAUCCAUAAGUUCAGAGUAAGUAUAUCUAUAUGAUCCACGAUUCAAAACAACUUAUUUGUUUCGAUGUAUCUCCAUAUCUGUUUCAUUACCAAACGUCUCCAAUUGAAGAGUUAUGAUUUUCUGUUCAUAUGAAUGUCCGAACAUUUGUCUGUUUAAUUUCCUUAAUCAUUUUUAUCCGAAAGGUAGUUCUUACUAAAUUUGUUGGUAGUCAUAUUAGUUACACCUGCCGUUUAACAUUGCAUAAAUUGUAGAUAUGCUUUUGUCGAACGUGACUGAAUAGAUAGUAUAUUUUAGGUCUGUUUCUAAUUAUUACUUUAAUAGCAAAACACAAGGGUUGUUUUUACUCCAAAAAAAAUGCUCAUUUCGUUUCCUGUUUGCAGCCGGACAAUAGGAGGAGAUUCAUUGAUCGAUGUGUUUCCUUCUCACCAAACAAUUACGGUUUCGACUCGCCUUUAGGACCAGAUUCAAUAGUGUAAGUUCCUCUUUCUUUUCGUAUCAU
rnacentral:lncRNA from 1 species